UACGUAGGGGGCUAGCGUUGUCCGGAUUUAUUGGGCGUAAAGAGCGUGUAGGCGGCCAUGUAGGUCCGGUGUGAAAACUCGAGGCUUAACCUCGAGAUGUCAUCGGAAACCAUUUGGCUAGAGUCCGGAAGAGGAGAGUGGAAUUCCUGGUGUAGCGGUGAAAUGCGCAGAUAUCAGGAAGAACACCCGUGGCGAAAGCGGCUCUCUGGAACGGUACUGACGCUGAGACGCGAAAAGCGUGGGGAGCGAACAGGAUUAGAACUCCGUGU
rnacentral:rRNA from 1 species